rnacentral:rRNA from 1 species
CAGUCGCCGCGGGAAUACGUAGGUGGCAAGCGUUGUCCGGAAUUAUUGGGCGUAAAGCGCGCGCAGGCGGAUCAGUUAGUCUGUCUUAAAAGUUCGGGGCUUAACCCCGUGAUGGGAUGGAAACUGCUGAUCUAGAGUAUCGGAGAGGAAAGUGGAAUUCCUAGUGUAGCGGUGAAAUGCGUAGAUAUUAGGAAGAACACCAGUGGCGAAGGCGACUUUCUGGACGAAAACUGACGCUGAGGCGCGAAAGCCAGGGGAGCGAACGGGAUUAGAUACCCCAGUAGUCCCUGUCUCUUAUACA